rnacentral:rRNA from 1 species
AUUGAACGCUGGCGGCAGGCUUAACACAUGCAAGUCGAACGAGUGGCGGUCGUGUGUGUAAUGCUUGGGAAUCUAGCUUAUGCAUGGGGAUAACUACGGGAAACUUUAGCUAAUUCCGCGUUCCAUACGAUGAGCCCAAGUGGGAUUAGGUAGUUGGUGAGGUAAAGGCUCACCAAGCCGACGAUCGCUAGCUGGGCUGAGAGGAUGACCAGCCACACUGGGACUGAGACACGGACCAGACUCCUACGGGAGGCAGCAGUGGGGAAUAUUGCGCAAUGGGGGCAACCUGACGCAGCCAUGCCGCGUGAAUGAAGAAGGCCUUCGGGUUGUAAAGUUCUUUCGGUAGCGAGGCGUUAACUACAGAAGAAGCACCGGCUAACUCCGUGCCAGCCGCCGCGGUAAUAG